rnacentral:rRNA from 1 species
UACGUAGGGUGCAAGCGUUGUCCGGAAUUAUUGGGCGUAAAGGGCUCGGUAGGCGGUCCAUCGCGUCGGGGAGUGAAAAGCUGGGGCUUAACCCCAGUCCUGCUUCCGAUACGGGUGGACUAGAGGUAGGUAGGGGAGAACGGAAUUCCUGGUGUAGCGGUGAAAUGCGCAGAUAUCAGGAGGAACACCAGUGGCGAAGGCGACUACCUGGCCUGUUCUUGACGCUGAGGCGCGAAAGCUAGGGGAGCAAACGGG